rnacentral:rRNA from 1 species
UGGGGAAUAUUGCACAAUGGGCGCAAGCCUGAUGCAGCCAUGCCGCGUGUGUGAAUAAGGCCUUCGGGUUGUAAAGCACUUUCAGCGGGGAGUAAGGCGAUAAGGUUAAUAACCUCAUCGAUUGACGUUACCCGCAGAAGAAGCACCGGCUAACUCCGUGCCAGCAGCCGCGGUAAUACGGAGGGUGCAAGCGUUAAUCGGAAUUACUGGGCGUAAAGCGCACGCAGGCGGUUUGUUAAGUCAGAUGUGAAAUCCCCGGGCUCAACCUGGGAACUGCAUCUGAUACUGGCAAGCUUGAGUCUCGUAGAGGGGGGUAGAAUUCCAGGUGUAGCGGUGAAAUGCGUAGAGAUCUGGAGGAAUACCGGUGGCGAAGGCGGCCCCCUGGACGAAGACUGACGCUCAGGUGCGAAAGCGUGGGGAGCAAACAGG